AAGAGGGUUGCGUGACAGCGUACGUGACAGCGGACUGCGCAGAUGCGUUUCUACCCCUUCCAUUGCAGCGCGUUAUACCGUAACGUUCCUCAUUCUAGUGCGUGCUGUCUUGAGUUACGGUUAUUUCUUCGCAAUGAUUCUCCACUGAUAAGAAACUGAAAGAAAAAUGGAUAAAUGCAUUAAUUGUUUUAAACAAACAAAGUAAUGCUUGUAGUCCCUCAAAAUACAGUAGAAUCUGCAUCAAACAAUUUCGACUGCAAAGUGUUCGUUUGAAAAAGAAUGCUGUCCCAAGUGUAUUUCCCAAUGCAGAACAAAGUAAGACAAUAUCUGAAAAUGAAGAUAAUUUAAAUCCUAACGAAAUUGAAGAAAUUGAGCAAUUUCAAAUAAACCAGUUAAUUAUAUUCAAGAUAAAUAUUCAGUUAAAUUGAAGCUAGUGAAAUUAAUUUAAAUAAG